rnacentral:rRNA from 1 species
AUUGAACGCUGGCGGCAGGCCUAACACAUGCAUCGGCGUACAAGCGGCGGACGGGUGAGUAACACGUGGGAACGUGCCCUUUGGUUCGGAACAACUCAGGGAAACUUGAGCUAAUACCGGAUGCCAUUGGAGCGGCCCGCGUCUGAUUAGCUAGUUGGUGAGGUAAAGGCUCACCAAGGCGACGAUCAGUAGCUGGUCUGAGAGGAUGAUCAGCCACAUUGGGACUGAGACACGGCCCAAACUCCUACGGGAGGCAGCAGUGGGGAAUCUUGCGCAAUGGGCGAAAGCCUGACGCAGCCAUGCCGCGUGAAUGAUGAAGGUCUUAGGAUUGUAAAAUUCUUUCACCGGGGACGCGGUACCCGGAGAAGAAGCCCCGGCUAACUUCGUGCCAGCAGCCGCGGUAAUAC